rnacentral:tRNA from 1 species
GGGUUUGUAGCUCAUUGGUAGAGUACUUGCCUAGCAUGUGUGAGGCACUGAGUUCGAUCCUCAGCACCA